ACUCUCUGCACAUCCAUGUUCUCCAAAGGUGAGUUUUACAAAAUAGCCAAUACUAUAGGUUAGGAGAUGCAUCUGCCCAUUUAAAAAUAAAAGUAACCAUAGUUGGAAGCACAUGCAACUGGCUGAGGAUUUAUGCUGGCCUGAGUUAUAUAACUGGCUGAGGAUUUAUGCUGAAAGACAAAAGCAGUAUUACAAUCAAUAGUCUAUGAAGAUGUGAAACGAGAGCUUGAAAGAUGUGUUCAUGAGCUGCAUUCAAUGGUGCUUUUUCAAGAGGCAACUGGACUGUCUUGUUAUUCUUUGAAGAUGUUUCGCUUCUCAUCCAAGAAGCUUCUUCAGCCCUGGACUGGAAUCUGUGAUCAAGAAGAAUUCAUUCCAAGAAAAAGGGGAACAAAACAAUAAACACAAUAGAUGACUA